rnacentral:rRNA from 1 species
CAGCCGCCACGGUAAUACGUAGGUGGCAAGCGUUGUCCGGAAUUAUUGGGCGUAAAGGGCUCGCAGGCGGUUUCUUAAGUCUGAUGUGAAAGCCCCCGGCUUAACCGGGGAGGGUCAUUGGAAACUGGGAAACUUGAGUGCAGAAGAGGAGAGUGGAAUUCCACGUGUAGCGGUGAAAUGCGUAGAGAUGUGGAGGAACACCAGUGGCGAAGGCGACUCUCUGGUCUGUAACUGACGCUGAGGAGCGAAAGCGUGGGGAGCGAACAGGAUUAGAUACCCCAGUAGUCCCUGUCUCUUAUCC